GGCGCAGUAGACGAACGGGAAGUCGCCGGGCCUUCAUCCCGGAGAAUGCGGGUUCGAGCCCCGCCUGCGCUA
rnacentral:tRNA from 1 species